GGAUGGGUGGCCGAGCGGUUGAAGGCACCGGUCUUGAAAACCGGCAGACGGGCAACCGUCUCGUGGGUUCGAAUCCCACCCCAUCCGCCA
rnacentral:tRNA from 1 species